rnacentral:rRNA from 1 species
GAUGAACGCUGGCGGCGUGCCUAAUACAUGCAAGUCGAGCGAACAGACGAGGAGCUUGCUCCUCUGACGUUAGCGGCGGACGGGUGAGUAACACGUGGAUAACCUACCUAUAAGACUGGGAUAACUUCGGGAAACCGGAGCUAAUAUCGGAUGAUAUAUUGAACCGCAUGGUUCAAUAGUGAAAGACGGUUUUGCUGUCACUUAUAGAUGGAUCCGCGCCGCAUUAGCUAGUUGGUAAGGUAACGGCUUACCAAGGCAACGAUGCGUAGCCGACCUGAGAGGGUGAUCGGCCACACUGGAACUGAGACACGGUCCAGACUCCUACGGGAGGCAGCAGUAGGGAAUCUUCCGCAAUGGGCGAAAGCCUGACGGAGCAACGCCGCGUGAGUGAUGAAGGUCUUCGGAUCGUAAAACUCUGUUAUUAGGGAAGAACAAAUGUGUAAGUAACUAUGCACGUCUUGACGGUACCUAAUCAGAAAGCCACGGCUAACUACGUG